UACGUAGGGGGCAAGCGUUGUCCGGAUUUAUUGGGCGUAAAGAGCGUGUAGGCGGCCAGACAGGUCUGCUGUGAAAACUCGAGGCUCAACCUCGAGACGUCGGUUGAAACCGUACGGCUAGAGUCCGGAAGAGGAGAGUGGAAUUCCCGGUGUAGCGGUGAAAUACGCAGAUAUCGGGAAGAACACCCGUGGCGAAGGCGGCUCUCUGGGACGGUACUGACGCUGAGACGCGAAAGCGUGGGGAGCGAACAGG
rnacentral:rRNA from 1 species